CAGCAGUGAAGAAACUUACAGGGGUGUUGUGUUUCCUGGUACCUGUGGACUCCCUGCUUAGCUUUUGAACGUGGAUCAGAUUAUAGAAGUCCCAGCUCUCUAGUCACCUAAAAUAUUCAUUGGCUUGUUAAAGAGAAGUACAUCUGCUGCUGUGAAGCCAAGAUUUGGUUUAGAAUUCUGUCACAGGACUCUACUGGUCUGUCUUUAACAGAAGAUGUUAUAAAGCUAAUUUUACCAUAAAAAAGAGGUUGUAGGAAGGCAGUGGAAACUCAUUCAGAACAGGGAACAUAUUCCUUUAGAGCAUUCAAGUAUUUCUUGUGAAUAUUUUGUGAAUGAUCAGCUGUGAAAAAGGUUCGUUUGGGCAUGUUAGAGCCUCAUUAAGAUGGUUUGGCAGUCCCUGAGGAGGAACCUGUAUGGCAGGAUAACUGUGUGAUGUCUCACACUGUUACCCCAAAAGGACAGUCACUGAUACUUAGAAAGUGGGAGUUUUGGGAAAUGGUGGGUGGAAAUACUCUCUCAAGCCAUGUAAUUAAAAUGAAACAAGCGGCCAGAGGAGCUGAUCCAGCAAGAUUCAAAGCAGGCAGGUAUUUGUGUGAGCACCAGCAUGGCCAAAAACACUCUGACAAGAGAUCAAACGUGUGACUCAGGGUUCAAACUGAUCUUUAUGGCAAAGAGAACUGCCCUUUUCUGUGUAACAGGAUAUCAAAAUUUGCUUUUCACAGUGCCUUGUGCUCUCCUCGAGUUCCCUGGUGCUGAAUUAGGGAGAAGGGGCUGGACUGGCAGGAAAGGGGAUGUGGAAAAUCAUCUUGCUGAUGGUGUUGCUGUGCAGGGAGGAGUUCAGAGGUCCCCCUGCUGUACCCUGCUCCCCACGGAGCACAGCCUCAGCCCCAUGUGGGCAGUGUCAAAACCCUGUGCUGGCACACACAGCUCAGAACGUGGGUUUGGGCCAAAGAAGAGGCUGAGCUGGCAGCAGUGGGCCUCCCCUGGCUGGAGGGUCUGGGCUCCUGAGACCUUUGAGGAGCAUGUUUGCUUCACUUCACAGAGACUGAAGGGGAAAUGUGCACUGCCCAUUCCUGCACUGGGAUCCCGACUGCUCCUGGAAGACAUUAGGAUUUAGGAUCAGGGUUUAGGAUUUCCUGCCAGCCUCUGUCCCCUUAGCUCUGUGGUUAUACACCAUGUAAACUGACGUGCUCCAGAGUGAGCUCCCUGAUGCUGCAGAGCUCAUGUGGGGAGGGUUUUUGUAGCAUCUGCAGCUCAGGACUGGGUGGGGUUUAUUCCAGUUCCACUUUCAGUUUAACUUCAGCAUCUGGCACUUCUCAGCAAAUUCAGGAGUCUUCUUUGGGUUUCUAUGUUACUACUGCCCAUUUCCAGUGUUUGCUGUCCCUGUUGCCUUUCUGAAGGGGAUCAGUUCCCUUGGAUAGCUGACCAGAGUUGAGAGAAGCAGCUCCCAGGCUGUGCUGCUGCUCCAUCCCCGGUGUCUGGGAGCCAAUCUGGCUGUCCAGGAGGAGCUCCAGACUCGCUCUUCUCACUGCAGACACUCCAGCUGACAGCACCAGGGAUUCAUCUGCUCCCAAAGCCUGCAGAAACACGGGAUGAGCCUUGUGUUUGAUCUGGCACAGUGCAGCACUGGAGAGUGGCAUGAGACAUUCCUCCAGGGAUGGAAAUGCACAGCCACCAGUAGUCAAACCUGGUUUUGGGAAGUUGAACUGUAGAUUAUCCAUCCCAGUAAUUCCAGUGUGGCUACACAGGGUUUCAUAUAGGUUGAGGAAUUGGAGUAUUAUGGUUUCUAUAUUGGCACAAAAAUGUUCAGGCAUAAAUAUCAUUACUCUGUUUCUGGCAGGCUUGGAAAUUCCACUGCACUCUCAUAAAUAGGGAGAGAUGGCCCCAGUUGGUUUUGUGGGUUUGUUUUCCUGUUUUAUUUUAACUGCAGAAAUCUGGUGUCAGUGCUGGAGCCAGCUGGAACAGCAGGACACUGCUCCUCCUUAUAAAGUGCCUAAUGUCACAUUUUCUAGUUCAUUGCAGCAAGAUUUGAUCCUAUCCUUUUGGUCAGCCUCCUCAAGGAAGGGUCCCAGGUUACUGAAAGCUCCGUGUAUCUCCUGGAGCAGGGAGUGCAGCUGGCAGAUUUAUGGCAUGUGGAAAUUCUCCUUAAUAGGGAUAAAGGAGAAAGUUUUCAGACAGAGAAUUUCUUCAGAGAUGUGUGUGUACAAGGAAAUGGGUCCUGUUGAGAGCUCAGGACCUCCAAACCACCACAUGAAUGAGCAUCAUUCAGUCCAUUGUGCAAACUGUAAACAGGCAGAAAAUAGAUUUAUAGAGAAGAAAACCUUUUGUACUUUCUGCAUGUACUACUGCAGAACACUCACUCACCAGCUCUUCUGUCCUGCAGGCUUUGGAUUUCCCACUGUUGCUGGGUUUGCAUAUAUGGAAAUGUGAAAUGGUAACAUUUAAUAAAAUCCACGAACCAUU